UUGAUUUAUUUAAUCGUGUUACUCAGAAGAUACUGUAUAAAACAAGAGUUUGGGGGUCCUCUGGCGGGCCGCCGGAGCGGGCACCGCCGAGGCAACGAUAGGUAUGUUCACAGGGGUUUGGGAGUUGUAAACUCGGUAAUGAUCCUUCCGCAGGUUCACCUACGGAAA
rnacentral:misc_RNA from 1 species